GACGAACGCUGGCGGCGUGCUUAACACAUGCAAGUCGAACGGUAAGGCCCUUCGGGGUACACGAGUGGCGAACGGGUGAGUAACACGUGGGUGAUCUGCCCUGCACUUCGGGAUAAGCCUGGGAAACUGGGUCUAAUACCGGAUAGGACUCCUGGCUUCAUGGUUGGGGGGGGAAAGCUUUUGCGGUGUGGGAUGGGCCCGCGGCCUAUCGGCUUGUUGGGGGGGUAAUGGCCUACCGAGGGGACGACGGGUAGCCGGCCUGAGAGGGUGACCGGUCACACUGGGACUGAGAUACGGCCCAGACUCCUACGGGAGGCAGCAGUGGGGAAUAUUGCACAAUGGGCGCAAGCCUGAUGCAGCGACGCCGCGUGAGGGAUGACGGCCUUCGGGUUGUAAACCUCUUUCAGCUAUGACGAAGCGCAAGUGACGGUAGUAGCAGAAGAAGGACCGGCCAACUACGUGCCAGCAGCCGCCGUAA
rnacentral:rRNA from 1 species